ACCUGGGUGGCUCAGUGGUUGAGCAUCUGCCUUUGGUGCAGGUCAUGAUCCCGGGGUCCUGGGAUCAAGUCCCACAUCAGGCU
rfam:Canis lupus familiaris chromosome 14, whole genome shotgun sequence.